AGUCGAACGGUAACAUUUCUAGCUUGCUAGAAGAUGACGAGUGGCGGACGGGUGAGUAAUGCUUGGGAACUUGCCUUUGCGAGGGGGAUAACAGUUGGAAACGACUGCUAAUACCGCAUAAUGUCUUCGGACCAAACGGGGCUUCGGCUCCGGCGCAAAGAGAGGCCCAAGUGAGAUUAGCUAGUUGGUAAGGUAACGGCUUACCAAGGCGACGAUCUCUAGCUGUUCUGAGAGGAAGAUCAGCCACACUGGGACUGAGACACGGCCCAGACUCCUACGGGAGGCAGCAGUGGGGAAUAUUGCACAAUGGGGGAAACCCUGAUGCAGCCAUGCCGCGUGUGUGAAGAAGGCCUUCGGGUUGUAAAGCACUUUCAGUUGUGAGGAAAAGUUAGUAGUUAAUACCUGCUAGCCGUGACGUUAACAACAGAAGAAGCACCGGCUAACUCCGUGCCAGCAGCCGCGGUAAUACGGAGGGUGCGAGCGUUAAUCGGAAUUACUGGGCGUAAAGCGCACGCAGGCGGUUUGUUAAGCUAGAUGUGAAAGCCCCGGGCUCAACCUGGGAUGGUCAUUUAGAACUGGCAGACUAGAGUCUUGGAGAGGGGAGUGGAAUUCCAGGUGUAGCGGUGAAAUGCGUAGAUAUCUGGAGGAACAUCAGUGGCGGAGGCGACUCCCUGGCCAAAGACUGACGCUCAUGUGCGAAAGUGUGGGUAGCGAACA
rnacentral:rRNA from 1 species